UUCCUCCAGUCUGUCUCCUUUCCAAGCUUUUCUGAAACAAAGGAACAACUGACUAAAAUUUUGUAAAUGAGCUCUAUUUUCCUGCAGAAAAGUCAUUCUUUAGGAAAAGAGAGGGAUUUGGCUUUUGGAAGUCUUGCUCACUGCACAAAUAUGUCUCUAACUUAGCAUGGAAACAAAUGGAAACAGCAUGUGAGAGAGAAAUCAAAGCUGACCAUGAUGGAACUCGGGGCUUGAAAAUUGAUCUCUACCAUGGUCCCAGUGUUAACUUGCUUGGUUAUCUCAACAUCAAGUUUACAAAACAGAAGCAACAGGGAAGGUGAUGAAGAGCAUCUACGGAUACAGGCGUGAGAGCAGACAACCUGAAAAUUCAUAAAAGUAAUAAAAGAUAACAGGUUAAAGUAUUUCAACUCAAGUUCUAAGGACCUUUGUAUUCAGCAAAGGAGCUCUGAUCAUCACAAAAUUAUAACAUGCUAUCAUGUUAUGCCUGGUGUGUAACAAAAUUCUUUUGUCAUCAGGAAAAUGUGUAACUGUGCUCCAUGUGUUUCAUACUGGGGUAGAGAAAGACCAUUAUUCUAAAUUUUUUUUUUUUUUUAAGAAUAUUUGGUGUUUAGAGCAAUAGGCCUUGAUUACCUCAAAACCUCAGUGGUAGAAAGAACACCUUAGUUUGUAUUGGAGUAGUUGUUACUUUAACUUGCUUCACAUGAAGGAUGCCUCAUUUAGAGCUAAACAAACCGAGGUGCAAGCACCUGCCUCAGUGUCCUAAAGGGACUCCCCUAAGGGUUCUGAAAAAUAGUUUUACUAUACUUUAUUGUUUUGGCAGGUGAGUGGUAUAAAUGAAAAAUAAGAACCCAGAUAAUUCAGGCAUUGGUCUGGGAUUUACAACUGUUAUUUAGAAUGUACUCUGAAGGCUUAAUUGUUGAGCAGGGCACAUGGUUUUUCCUUCUGGCCCACCAGAAAUGGAAAUUGAAUCAUGUCAGAAGGGCCAAAUAUUCAUUGUAGAGGAGAAAAAGUAGGAAAUGAUCACCAGUUAGGAAAUUGUCCUGUUUGGUAAUUUAUGUGCUUCCUAAGGUCUCUGGUUCAGAUAGGUAAAUGAUUAAGAUGCAAUGUCCAUCACAUUAUUUUCCUACUGAGCUAUGUUAUUGUAUGUGAAUCUGCCUACAAUAUAGGAGACCCAGGUUUGAUUUCUGGGUCAGGAAGAUCCCCUGGAGAAGGAAAUGGCAACCCACUCCAGUAUUCUUGCCUCGAGAAUGCCAUGGACUGAGGAGCCUAGUGGGCUACAGUCCAUAGGGUCACAAAGAGUCGGACACAACUAAGUGACUAACACAUGUUAUUGUAAGGAUAUGGCUACUAGCUACAGAAACCCUGCCAAGUUCCAAAUGGAACAAAAGAGUUCAGCAUGAAACAAUGCAGAGAGGGUUUCUCAUUUAAACUUAGAAAAAGAAGAAAGAAAAAUUAAACAGCAAGAACAAAAUCUUGCCUGUCACAGCUGUUUAAAUUACCUAGAUAGUUCCCCUUUCUCCCAAUUUUUCUUUUUUUUAAGAAUUUAUUUAGUGUUUUUAAUACAUUUUCAAUGAUCACAUAAUAAUCAUUUAUUUACAUGGAAAGGAUAUAGUUGGAAAUCAAGAUUAACAGGAAGAACUGGAAUCAUGUUUCAAAAGAAUUGAGUAUACUACACCUUCUAUUAGGAGCUAGAAAAGAAGGCAGAAUGCUCACGUUAUGUGUAGCAGGUGUUGUUGUUCAGUCACCAAGUCGUGUCCAACUCUUCGUGACCCCAUGGACUGCAGCAUGCCAGGAUUCCCUGUCCCUCACCAUCUCCUGGAGUUUGCCCAAGUCCAUGUCCAUUGAUGAUGUCAUCCAACCAUCCCAUGCUCUGUCACCCUCUUCUCCUCUGCCUUCAAUCUUUCCCAGCAAUGUAGUAGGUGACAUUUAGUCAAACAGAAUCACAAUCAGGCAUUGUGCAUGAGAGCAUGAGAUUUAGGAAAUAAAAAUAUUCAGUCUGGAAAAGUGCAAAUCAAAUAUCUUAGAUGAAAAUUCUCUUUGUAAAAAAUAGAUUUUUAAAGGAGGAUAUUUCUGUAAAGAUGUGAAGCCUCAACAAAGGAAAAUAACUCUUCAGGGUGACUUGCUGACUAAGGACACAAAACGUGUUUUUUCUCUAUUUUGAUCAGGGAGAUGGUGUUAAAGCCUGAUCAAGGACACAAGCUCCCAGCUUAUAAGGUAUCAGAGUCACUGUCCAGCUUGAAGAUAACAGUUCAAAGAAAAUGCUAUGUUAAGGGCUAUUAUAGUCUCAUGUCAUCUCUUUGGUUAUCAUUGGAAUCCUAAAAGAGGUGCUAAAACACUACAACGUAAUCUAAACACAGCUUUAAAAAUGCUCACUUUUGGAAGAAGCAAAAAUAUUCACACUUCAUAAUAUAAUUUUUGCAUCAUUGGGAGAAUUAUAACUAUAGUUUUUCUGAGGUCUAUUCACUCAUUAGAGAUAAAAUGACAAGUCUUCUGAUCCUCCAGAUUAUCAACUGUCAUAGGAAAACUAAAUGCAGAAAAAUCUGAAUUAACUAGAGGAAAGGGUCAUGCUGAAUAAUUAACUAAUGUAAGUUAUUCUCGCCCCAUGAAAUCUUUACCAAAACUUUUAAGAAGUAUCUGCUUGAGAUGUGCUUCAACUGCUUUUCAUGCUGACUUCUGGUAUAACCAAAGUUCAAGGAGUUCAAGAGAAAAGAAAGACAAGACAAGCAAAGGGACUAGUGUUAAUGCAUAAAUUGAAUAAUCCAAAGCCCCAAAUGAUCCACAGAUAACUGUAUUAAGUUGUAUAAUUUGUAAUAACAAUGUCUUGGCUCAAGAAUGAUCUUUAAUUGGAAUACCUUGUGAAAUUUUAUUUUAUAACAGAGAGAAAGAUUUCAAAUAUGUUUUGCUUAAAGUAACAAUAGCAAGCUAGUCAAACUACUUUGCUUUAAUUCUAACAUCCCCUUAAACUAUAAUUUAUUACUUAACCAGGUGUACAAUAAGAUGUUUAUGUUAUGCACUGGUUUUAUUUAAAUAAUUAGAAGAAAAUUUAUUGCUGUCCAAAAUAAAAAUAAAUCAGGCAAUUUGCUUACAAUCUCAUAUUUUGAAAAUAAGUAAAAAUUCUAUGCAAACAUACCAAGGGGGAAUUUAUCAUUUUCAUUAGAAGAAAAAAUUCUGUGGGUAAAAUGAUAGUAAUGACAGAAACAGAGAAAUUUCUUGGGUAAUGGUUUAAAACUUUUCCUUCAAAGAUUUUAAAAUAGAAAAAAUAAGCCAUGUAAUUUUGAAGAAAUAAGGUUCUAAAUUAGUAGAUUUUUCAUUAAUUUAUCAAAAUUCACUCUGCAAAAUUACCAUCAUGGACCACGCCAAUGAUGUUAAAUGCCUACAAUGUAUUAUAACAACAAUUUUAAUAUUCUAACAACUUCAUAAGAUUGAGCUAAAUGUUCUGUCCAAAUAAAAGAAAUUAUAACUGACCAAACAAGUAUGAUUGAUUGCUUUAACCCUAGAUUUCUUCUGGGCAGGAAAAAAAUUUGUAUUGAUUAUUGAACACUUGAACACAAUUUAUAAAGCACUAUUUCCCCCAUUUUGGUGUCUAAUGAGAUACCAAAUAAUUCUUCAGUUUACUUUACUUGAAAGUCUGCAAUAAGACUACUUGAAGGAAGAAGCAAAAACACAAUAUAUAUUUGCCUCCAACGCUGAGUAGGUGAUUUGUUGUAGAGAUUAUAGAUGGAAAAUCUGUAUUUUUCCUCUACUUUUAAAAUGAAGUAUUAAAAAAAAUAAAAUGAAGUAUUAACCAUCCAUCAAUAUGGUUUAUUCCCCAUGAUCUUACUUUUAAUUCAAGUUUUCAGAGUCAGCUCCAUUUGGUGUGGAGAUCUUUGUUGCCACAAAGGGUGAGCUGAUGGGAGAGGACAGGAUUCCCCAAGCCCCUCAGCAAUGGGCCGUGCCCCUUGGGAGAUGAGAUGAAAGCUACACUUCACCCGCUGGUCACCAGAGCCUCUAUCGCUGGAUGAUGCAAUCAUCCAAUACAGCCUCCGUGUUCUGUGCCCAUAUACAUCUGGGGCUCCGUUCUCCAUGAUGACUGUUCCAAGGACACUAUACAACAGAAAAAAGGCAUUUCAGUGUUCCCAUCACUUACAGUGUCCAGCAAACAAGACCCUAACAGUGGUUGGAGAGUAGACCUGAAAUAUGAGAUACAUAUGGACCUAUUCUCAAGCCAUUCUGAACCCAAUUUUUAAAAAAUUAAAAUAGUUUUGGUUAGUUAAGAUGAUUCAAAGGACUGUGCUACCUGACAUUGCUAUUUAGCUUUCUCUGUGAACUUUCUUUCUUUCCAUUUGGCCCAUAAAUGACUUGAAAACAGAGCCCAGGUUUUAAAUGCAGUUGCAUUCCUAUUCCCUGACAUGGUAUUCUACCCUUAACCUGCACCAGCUGAUGUUGGUUUAGGUCAAUGAAUAAGGAACUUCAGAGGCACUACUAAUAUAGCUUGUGCUUUAAUGGGUUUUCCAGGAAUAGACAAAGAAUUGGUUGAGAGCCAAUCUUGAGCUUUUAUCUCAUUUUCCACUCUACCUCCCCACCUCCAAUCUCUACAUGCUCUUUCAUAACAGGUAUUAAACAUUUACGAGCUGGCUAGACAUGACUGGGGAUGUGAUGACUCGUAUUGGGAGACAGGUAUAUGAGUGGCUCAUACAGAAUGGGCCAAACUGUUUGCAACAGAAUGAGCAAAAAGAGAGAGACUCUAAUUUAUUCCUGAAAAUAGUUAGCUAACAGAGUCCUCAGUGUUUUCUGGGCUUAAGCAUACUCUUUCAUUUGCAAAAUUGUAUUAUAUGUAUCUCUAAAGAUUACUUUCAUACCAAAAAAUUAUUUGCUUUUAGCUCCUCAAGAAAAAGUACUACGUAAGGUAUUCUACUACUUUCAAAAAUUACAAAACCCUAAGCAACUUUUGAAAGUGCCAAAUAUUUUCAUUAUCCAGGUUAACAACACAUAUUAAAACUACAAUAAAUAUUAUAUAUAAUAUAUAUUUUAUAUGUUAUUAACAUAUAUGUAUAAUAUGUAAAAUAUUUACUGUAGUUUUAAUGUUCAAUUCUGAAAUAUACUUUAGUAUCCAGAGCCUUCCUCAAAUUAGGAAAUAAAGUCAUACUGAAUCUGGGUUACAUGGCAACAUGAAUGAGAAGGGGGUUUGGAGUGAGUUUUUCAAAACAAGAAGCCAGUGUUCUCUCUACAAGGAAGUUCUAGGAGGAGAGAAUGGUAAUCAGCGUAUUUAUGAAGGGCAAAUAUCAGAAA